rnacentral:rRNA from 1 species
UACGUAGGUGGCAAGCGUUGUCCGGAUUUAUUGGGUUUAAAGGGUGCGUAGGCGGUCUAUUAAGUCAGUGCUGAAAUAUCCCGGCUUAACCGGGAGGGUGGCAUUGAUACUGAUGGACUUGAGUAGAGUCGAGGUAGGCGGAAUUGACGGUGUAGCGGUGAAAUGCUUAGAUAUCGUCAAGAACACCGAUAGUGUAGACAGCUUACUAGGCUCAAACUGACGCUGAGGCACGAAAGUGUGGGGAUCAAACAGG